UACGAAGGUGGCAAGCGUUACUCGGAAUUACUAGGCGUAAAGGGCAGGUAGGUGGUUCGGUAAGUCUGUUGUGUAAGCUCCCGGCUUAACUGGGAGAGGUCAACAGAAACUACCGGACUUGAGUAUAGGAGAGGGUACUGGAAUUCCCGGUGUAGCGGUGAAAUGCGCAGAGAUCGGGAGGAACACCAAUGGCGAAGGCGGCUCACUGGCCCGAUACUGACGCUGAGGUGCGAAAGCGUGGGGAGCAAACAGG
rnacentral:rRNA from 1 species